AUCCUAACCAGGAUAAACCCUGAAAAUGAAAGAAAGUUUGUCACAAUUUAAUAAUUUAACCCAUGUUGUCAGGCUCUUUCAGGUUGAAGGUGUAAACCUCUGUCUCUGAUCACCUUGACAACUUUGGAGUAUUUAUUCCCAAUCUGGUAACUUUUCAGACUUUUCCAUUCAGAGAAAGAGAGCGCCACCUUGUGUAAACUCAGCUCUUAGCAAGCAGUGAACUAAAAAGAGAAGAAAAAAAAAGAAAGAAAGAAGAAAAGAAAUGUUCACCACCGAGCCUGAGGACUGAGGUUUCGGGGCGUCGCCUUGUUUUGUGCUGAGCCAAUCGGAGUUGUGUUUUCACACUUUGUAAACAACACGUUUACACGUUACACGCUGUUUGUAAAACCAGUGUACUACAAGUCAUGGACGUGUCACUUCACUUCUCUCAGGAGGUGCCGAGCAGCUGGCAGAUCUUGGGCGUGGUUCCACACAGGUAGGAGGUGAUGGAAGGAAACCACGCCUGUUUGAUUUGUGGUGCCGGACAGCUUUGUCCCAGAUGUUGACUUGUGAUGGCUCAUCCUUAAUUCCAGAGAAUCUCGGAAGUUGAAAGAGGCUUGAUUCAUGCAUUAAAUUUACUCUAUGACUUUGGCUAACGUGUUUUGACUCUUGGCCAGAAUGUGUCCGUCAAAAUGUUGAUGUAUUCAGCUGAGAUUUGGGCGCAUGUUGGAAGAGAUCUACGUGAACUCAGCCCUACCUGUGAUAUUUCCGUGGCUUGCUGGAGUAAGGGCACUUAAAAAUGAGGAUAGUGAAGACGCCGUGUGUUUGCUUAUGGAAGGUCACACUCGAUGAGAGCUAUAUUUGGGAAUGCGAGAAGAAGACCACACCUGAAGACAUUUCAGCAGGUUACAAUGCAUUCUGGUCCAUCAUUUUCAGGUCACAUUGACUGUGAGCUAUAUUUGGAAGUUCGAGACGGAUGCAGCACCUGAAGAUAAUUUCAGUAGUUAUAUUGUAUUAGAUCUUUUCUGGCCCACUGGUUGAGAGCUAUGUUUGAAAAAAGCAAGACGUAGGCAACACCUGACGCAUGCAGAACGUGAGAAAGCUGAAAUUGUUACAGUAAUCUUAUUCACUUAUCUCUACCGAAAGGCCCAUCUGCUCCCUUUGGUUCCCCGCAGACUCUAAACCAACAGCACAACUGGGUAACUAGCUCAGUCAAGAUGCUAACCAACUGAGACGAAAAAACGUUCAUUUGUGUGUUUAGCAGGUGUAAAUGUGGGAUUCCUAAUCUACACAGAGAGGUAGUGGUGAGAGCUGAAGUAAGAUAUAAUAUUAGCACGCUGAGUUUGUUUUUGGCUCACAAUAAAUGCACAAAAAAAUUGCACUGAUGUUGAAAUGAUACUGCGGUCUAUAGAAUAGUCCCACGUCUAUGUUGUAUAACUGCUGUAUUACUGAAAUCCAUACCUUAGUGCGAACUUUAAUCAUUAACUUCUUUACUGUUCGAAAGCAAUCAUUUAUUUCACACCUGCAGACAAGUGCCCGAUUAAAAGGAAAAAAAGGUGACUUUGUUAUUUUAUAGGUGUAAUUUGGGUCUACUUGUCCCCUUAAGAAGAAGCAUCACUGCAAAUCAAUCCAAAGUUCUUCUCACUGGUUACCUUUAUUCUAUGAUGAAACAUUUCCAUCCUGGUGGCCGUGGGCUUGUCCAUCAUGACCCCACCUCACACUCAGCAAAUCUCAACCCAACUGAACAUCUAUGGGACAUUUUGGAGCCGUGUAUUAGACACCAUUCCCCACCACCUUCAUCAAAACUUUUCUUACUUUUGUAAGAAUGGUGUUCGCCUCUCCAGUACAGUACGAGAGACGUGUAGAGGUGUACUGAGGGUGGUCUGGGGCUUGUGGUUACCUGCUUGUACAUCAUAUCUCAAAAUAAUGUUCACUUCACAUAAAACAAUGCAUGUAGUUUUAAAUUUUUCCCCUCACUUCCAUUCUCCCUCGUUCCUACCUGAUCUUCUUCUUUACUACCAAACCUUCUGCACCAUCCGGCUUUUCAUGAUUAUACCUGCUCCAGACUUCCCAACUCUUUUCUCCUUACACUCAGACAAUCUCCAACAUUAAACCUCAACUUAAAACAACUACACUGCGAAAAUGAUAUCUGAAAAUAUCUUGAAUAUGGGCGAAUGUAUCCGAUAUUUCUUAUUAUGAGAUUAUUAUAAAUCAAAUAUAAUACUAUUCAGCAUGGUUUCAGAAACUUUAGAUUCUUUCUAGAAAUAAGUGCUUAAAAUUAGGGGGGAAGAAUUCUGCCAAUAAAACAAGAUCAUUUCAGACAUAACUGAAAUUAGUAAAAAUAUCUAGAAAUAGGUUUAAUAAUCUUAUUUUCGGGUUUGUUGUAAUCUUAUAAUAAGAGUAAGAUAAAUCUUAUAAUAAGAUAAAUCUGAAGAUAUUUUUACUUGCUAAGAUGUCAUUUUUUUGCAGUGUAUAACCUCUGAUGUCUGUUAAAUGUUGGUUUAAUGUUGAGUACCUCUGAUGAUUGUCUUUAUUAUUAUUAUUAUUAUUAUUAUUAUACUACCUGUAAAAGCAGGAAACGUUUCAGCUAUGAGCUGUGGUGUUCUGUCUCUGCACACAAAAACAUUAUUUGAGUCUGAGUAGCGCCUUCAUUUUUGCUCGCUGUAGUGUUAAAUGCAAGCAGACUGUGUUUUCCGCUGGCAUUAGAGGGUUUUUUUUUUUGCUGCACUGUACAGUUUUACUCAGUUUUACUCAGUUCCUAUACACAGCUAGAAUACGUCCUCGGUGCUUGUGCGUAGUGCAGCAGGUGGUGGGAUUCGGAAAAGAGUAGCACACCACUGAGAAAUACAUGAACCGACUGGAACAUGUUACGUUUAAACAAACAUCUAAUGAAAAGUUUUCUUUUGUGAAUGUCAGUAGGAAUUAGGGUUUUUUCCUUUCCUCUGGUUGUUCUAUAAGUGAAAACACUGGUUAUAACUGCUGUAUAACCAUAAACAGCUACUGAACUUGUUUUUCCUGCUAGUUGGCUGAAAAAAUUAUAUCCUGGAUACAAAAUCUGCUCAUCCUGGAUUAUUUGUCCACCCUUGUAGUUAUUGGAAAGUGUCUUUAGGUCAAUGAGAAACGCUAUACCUGACCAAGGAAGAGCGACUGCAAAUAAUUCUAUUCACAGACUUAUAGAAAUAUGUGUAUUGAGAAAAAUGGUGGAUUUACAAGUCCUGUAAAUAAAAGCUUUUUUUUGUAUUUUUUUUUCUCCUAUGAUGUUGGACUUCUGGGAUAUGCUGCAUGAAUUAAAUCAUUAUUAUUAUCACUGCUACAUAGCACAAAAUAUGCAAAUAUGCACGUUCCUCUGGGAAAAAAGAUAAAUUUGAGUUUAUGUGAUGUAUAGUGUAUGUAAAACAAAAAAGAUCCACUGCAAAUACGAAGUGAAAACACCUUAAUUAUUGUUAAUUAUUGUCAUGAAAUUGAUGUUAAUCCAUUUGAUGAACAUAUUAAUUUGACACUUGGUGUUAUUAUGGGACGGAUUAAACUGUCAGUUAUGGUUGAAUCAACAGAAAAAUAAUACUGUGUACUCAGUCAGGCUCAGAUCCCCUUGAAUGAAAAUUUUUUUGUUGUUUUCCUGUUUCUGCUCUAAUGGCAGCUGCAUUUCAACUGACACUGUUGCUGUUAUGACUUUUAACAGAAGUUUGAAAUGCUAUUUAAGUGUCAUCAGGAUAAAGUGACCUAGACCAAAAAGGGGGGAGAAAUAAUCAGUGUUGGGGUUCAGAGCGUGUUUGAUCUCGCCUGCUCUUCUCCCGCACUACCAGGUGGAAGUCUUCAGGAUGUUUUUUCCUCUCUCCCUCUCUCUCUCUCUCUCUCUCUCUCUCUCUUUGCGGCACGAGAAAGAUCCAUGCCAGGGAGUGAGGCAGAUCUUUCAUGCUGACGGAUUCCUGAGGGACACAACCUGCCCCCGAGAAGUCCUUGCAUUCUCCACCAAGGUUCCCUCCCAACAGUGCUUUUGUUUCUCUGUGGGUUCUUUCUGCACACAGGAGGGAAGGAGGAAAACGAAAUGGACUCUAGGAUAGUGUUGUAUCAGCCAGCAGCUGUUGUAUGAGUGACAAACUCAAGCGCUAGAGAUAUGAACAUGGGAAAAUGGACUGUUCUGGGGAGAAGAAGAAAGGAGGCAUGUACAACGUGUCCUCUUCACAUGCAUGAAAUGUAUUACAGACUCCCAUAUGAUGGUGAAAGUGCAACAGAGAGACUGAUCAUCAUGAGUGCAGACAUGGUCUUUUUUUUGCUGGACAUGGUUUUUACGCAACUUGACUGAGUCUGAAGAAAACAUCUGUCAACACGCUGUCAGCACAAGCACGUCAACAUCACUGAUGACUGCGGUUUAACAAAUUAAUGCCAUGAAAAGACAUGGCGUACUGAUGUCUUUCGCAGAGUGUGGAUAAAAUGAUGAUGUUUUUCUUCAUGUUUUGGUGGUGUUAUUGGUGGCAAAACAUAUCACCAUGAUUUCAGGAUCAUCAGCUACCUCACUGCUUGCUUCUGUUCUCUGUUCUCUCCUCCUGUACAUCUUUUGCAUGUUUGCUAUCAGAAUGAAACAAUCAAGUUAAUAAUAGUGUCAGUGACGUGGAAAGCAGAGGUCCUUAAAGAAAACAGGCUCAAAUAAUAAUUAAUUGGCAUUCAUUGUUUGAUUGUUAUGUACUGAAGGUACAGAGGUUUUCAGACUACAGUACAAGUGGGAUUUAUUAUUAUUAUUAUUAGUAGUAGUAGUAGUAGUAAUACUACUACUACUACUAAUAAUAAUAAUAAUAAUAAGCAUAAACCUUAGUUAUAAAGUAUAAAAUUGUCUGAAUAAAAUUUAUGCCAUAGAAGUCAUUCAAAGUAAGACGUCAUAAGAAAUAAAAUCUUGACAGUAGAAAUCAGCGCGAUGUAUCAUCAAUAAUAAAUAAUUUCUGUUUUCAUGUGAAUCACUUUUUCCCAUGUUUAACAUAAAAUGAGUAUUUAAUGCUGUUUUCUGUACUUGAGUUUCUAACUGUUCUUCUGAUCAGCUUGUAGUUACACUCCAUUAACCUUCUAAACUCCGAGAAGUUGAGGAUGGUUCCAGAUUUGCGCACUAUAAUGUGAUAUUAAUCAUUUGGCAUUGUAGUUAUUAUAGUUCCUGUGUUUACUCCAUGUAGUUACUGAAUAAAAAGGUUCGGAAAUGUAAAGUAGCUUAAAAGGUUAAGGAAACAAUGAUGAAGUGUUUUUAUGAUUGAUUUUUGUUUUACAUCAGUUUUCAUUCUUCCUGUGACUUCUUGCUUAAAAUAAAAAAAUUUUAAAAAAUAAAAUAAAAAAUAAAACUGACCAGAUUGUGAAGGCAACCUUGUCUAGUAAACUUGCACUGUUUUAUUAUAUUACAUUACGAUGCUAAUGAGAGAAAGCAAGGUGGAUGCUGAUGUACCCGAAAAGCGUAGCUUGCUCCUCACUGUGAGAAAACGUUCCUGGGAGAACUUCAUCACUGAGUUCAUAACAGCUGCACACCUGAGAUUGAGUGUGCAAUGAGAUGAGCGACAAAACUGCAGAGGUGAAUUCAUGAAGCAUGUCACACACUUUUGUUUCUUAAUGGAUGACUAAGCUCUCACUCUUGUUUUGUUCUUUAGGAACAUCUGUGGCCGGCCAACCACAAAAAAAUAAACCGGAAAAAAUUGUGAGAAAAUUGUCUUUGCCUUUGUGAAGAGAAUGGAGUGUGAUUGUAACAGUAGGAUUAGAAGUUUAAUGGGUGUGUUAUGGUCAUGGAUGGUGCUGUAUUUGUAUAAAACGGGCUUUUGUAAUAUUUUUUCGAGGGACAUGUCAAGCAGCAAAUCCUCCUUUUUCUUUGUUUGAUUUGCUUCAUUUUAUUGCUCAAAAACAUUGUGACUCUUAUACAAGAU